rnacentral:rRNA from 1 species
GACUACUGGGGUAUCUAAUCCUGUUUGCUCCCCACGCUUUCGUGCCUGAGCGUCAGUGUUAGCCCAGGGGGCUGCCUUCGCCAUCGGUGUUCCUCCGCAUCUCUACGCAUUUCACUGCUACACGCGGAAUUCCACCCCCCUCUGCCACACUCAAGCCCGCCAGUUUCCAAUGCCAUUCCCAGGUUGAGCCCGGGGCUUUCACAUCAGACUUAACGAACCGCCUGCGCACGCUUUACGCCCAGUAAUUCCGAUUAACGCUCGCACCCUACGUAUUACCGCGGCUGCUGGCACGUAGUUAGCCGGUGCUUAUUCCGCCGGUACCGUCAAGAACGCGACGUAUUAGGCCGCGCCUUUUCUUCCCGACUAAAAGCGGUUUACAACCCGAAGGCCUUCUUCCCGCACGCGGCAUGGCUGGAUCAGGGUUGCCCCCAUUGUCCAAAAUUCCCCACUGCAGCCCCCCGUAGG